CAAAGAUUGCCAGAAAACCACCGGGAACCGGGGGAGAGGCUGGAACAGAUUCUCGUCACAGCCUCAGAAGGAACCAACCCUGAUGACCCUUUAUCUCAGGCUUCCAGCUUCCAGAAUGCAAGCGAAACUCCCGGGAGCUGCUGGCCCUCAUCCCUGGAAGAUCUUUCUCUCCCUUCCUCAGCAAGCUGUCGUACCUGUGUUCCCGUGAUGACCUCUCCCCUCUGGGCCUCUCACCCCUACAGCCCCUGCUUCCCACAUUUCGCUCCUGCCCUCGGUCCUCUUCUGGACACUUGGACGCUGAAAACGUAGGUUCACAUCUUGAAUUUCCAGCUGAAUUUGAUCUCUGGAAGUGACCGUAGAGAUUUUCAUUGUCGUGUUUUCUCUUUCCUGACCACGCUACUGAGGACGUUCUGAUGUAUUCGUGCCAAGUUGUACCAGACAGACAGCCCUUCUCUCCUCUGGUGUCCCUUCUGGAGGACCUGUGCUCUCCAGAGUCUGCAAAUAACUCGACCCUCAGGCGCAAGUGACUGGAUGUGGCGGAGAGACUGGACUCAAACCUGCCAGGCCGGAUUCCCUCUGCCCGGAUUGCUGACAUGAGUGCUGGCGCACUGGAGCGAUAAGGCCUGGAGCCUGCUCAGCCGGGA
rnacentral:lncRNA from 1 species